rnacentral:rRNA from 1 species
GACGAACGCUGGCGGCGUGCCUAACACAUGCAAGUCGAACGGGACUUAGUGGAAUGCGGCUUCGGCCAAAGGAAACUAAGUUUAGUGGCGAACGGGUGAGUAACGCGUGAGGAACCUGCCUUUCAGUGGGGGACAACAGUUGGAAACGACUGCUAAUACCGCAUAACAUAUUUGGAUCGCAUGAUCUGAAUAUCAAAGCUUUAUGUGCUGAAAGAUGGCCUCGCGUCUGAUUAGAUAGUUGGUGGGGUAACGGCCCACCAAGUCGACGAUCAGUAGCCGGUCUGAGAGGAUGAACGGCCACAUUGGGACUGAGAUACGGCCCAGACUCCUACGGGAGGCAGCAGUGGGGAAUAUGGGCAAUGGGGGAAACCCUGACCCAGCAAACGCCGCGUGAAGGAAGAAAGGCCCUCGGGUUGUAAACUU